UGCCAUUGUCGUCAGAAUCCUCACUGCUGCUAGGAAGCCGACGUCGUUUCAUGAUCUCCACGGGAAACAGCAGGCAGCCUGCAAAGCAAUGAGACAGCACUUAACCCAGGAUAAUAAUACACAGUCAUCAAGUUGUGUUUCUGAUGGCAUUCAAGGAUUUACAGCACACAAAGGAAAACAAACAACUUUAAACAGCAUCUGAAAUACGAACAGAGAGAAUGGUAUUCACCCCUAUCAUUUGAAGCUCAGCUAGUCAGUCUCCAGCAGCUUUCCAGGAAGCAAGGGAAGGCAGAAGAGCAGCUACUUCCCCGAAGUACAGAACAUCAGCUACGGCAGUUAGUUUACCUGUCCGCUCUAGUCAGGUUGCUGAAGUUGGCCACACCAAAAAGCCUGUCCCCUCAAAAAUGACACUAAAGGAACUACACAAUCCAGUGGAGCUUAUGUGACAUUCUUUUACAGAUGCACAUGAAAGAGGAGUUGUGAUCCAGAGAUCUCAUGUUCCCUUUGAACCUCAGUUUACAGGGAGCUAAAUCACCAAGUGGCACUUGGCUGCUUAGAGCAAGCAUCAAACCUCAUACGAUUAACCCCUUAAAAGUUUUGUUACUAGAAGUGAUAAUCAGCCUUUUUGCUUCUAAACUAUUUUUAAACCAUUCCUUUUAAGCAACACCCACCAGAUGUUCGCACCCAAAGUUCAGAAUAUAUGUUAUAAAGGUAACACUGGAACAGUCCAUACGAAUUACAGCCACACAACCUGAAAUGCUGCUGCUCAUAAGGGUACCACAGUGCCUCUGCUGCAAAGGCCAUUGGUUUCUGUUAGUUAGCAGUGACCUCCAAGUCACACGAGGACUGCAUUAAAAAUAAACAUGGAUUACUGACGGUGGCGGCUAGGUGCAGACCUUCCCCGUUCAACCACACACACACAGCUUUUGCCAGCAUGUUGAGAAGUUACUGGGAAUUCAAGUAACAUUUUUCUAACCUUGAAAAGAAUAACUGUAGUAACUUAUUCUUCAUGGGACAUCUGUAACUAAAAACAAGAUCUUUUUAUACUGAAAAAGGCAGAAUGGGAAAUCUGUCAAACUUUUCAGUAAACUGCUGAUUUCAUUCUCUUUCCUAAUCUGGGACUUGCGUGCUACUUUUCUUUGAAAUUCUCACCCUUUACAGUCGUGAAACUGCUGGUGUUUUUCACCUGACUAUAUUCUGACAUGCACUUAACAUACUCAGGUGUAAAUAUAGUGCAUCUGAUUCACCUCUGAUCUCAAUAAAACAAUCUGAAACGGAAGCAGGUCAGCCGACUCCAACAGGUCAGAAGUAAAGGCAACUCCUCAGGGCUGACUGUAGCACACCGGGUUUAAUGGUACAAAUUGGCUAUGAUCAUUAUGCGUGCAAGCGAAGAGAAUUCACAUGUGAGCAGGAUCACACAAAAAGGGUGAAACAUUUCAGCCAAGCCUUAGACUCAUUACAAUAAAAACUAUGCAGCGCAGCCUGUGACACUUGCAGGACAGGAAGGGACCACCCAGGCUACUGAGCUCAAUUCCCCAAAAUCGAAGGCAACCACAUAAUUGCUGUUUAGCCCAGGAGUUUCCACCAAACAUUCGCUCCGUCCACACAUGCCGCAGAACUGCUUCUAAACCCUCUUCUCAAAACAAGCACUUCUCUGAGGCAACAGCCAGCCACGCAGCGCCCCUGAACACUGCAUCUUCGAUCACUAACAUGUUCGUUGCUGCUUUUCCCAAACCCACACACCAGCA